GCUCCAAUGGCCUUGUGGUUAGAGCAUCCACCUCAGAUGCGGGAGGUUGUGGGUUCAAUCCCCAGUUGAGUCA